rnacentral:rRNA from 1 species
AUACGGAGGGUGCAAGCGUUACUCGGAAUCACUGGGCGUAAAGCGCGCGCAGGCGGCUAUUUAAGUUGGAUGUGAAAGCCUACGGCUCAACCGUAGAACUGCAUCCAAAACUAUUUAGCUAGAGUGUGGGAGAGGAAGAUGGAAUUAGUUGUGUAGGGGUAAAAUCCGUAGAGAUAACUAGGAAUACCAAAAGCGAAGGCAAUCUUCUGGAACACUACUGACGCUGAGGCGCGGAAGCGGGGGGAGCAAACAGGAUUAGAAACCCUAGUAGUCC